UUCCUUUCUUCAGCAAAUUAUUUAAAAUGUUCCUACGUACAUAAAUGUAUAAUUCUUGACAUCUCUUGCUGAUUCAGUUUCAUUUGAUUUAUCUCUCUUCAAAUGGAACAGAUAUCUCACAUCUUCAUUGCUAUUGUUUUUACUACAGAACUAGUUCUUGCAGGUAGGUAAGUAAUAAUCAAAAUUUGGUUGACACAGAAAUUGUUUCAUGAGGUGGUGUAAAUGCAGCUGGAAAUGUGUGUCAGAGAGAGAGAGAGAGAGAGAGAGAGAGAGAGAGAGAGAGAGAGAGAGAGUUGCACUACUGAAUUUUGUUAUCCGGAGCAUUUUUCAGCAGUCUCGAUGACAGUAUAUUCUCCUACAGAACAUGUGUCCUAAUUUGAAUUGAGAGAGGCAAAUGGGUUCUAAAAUCUCUCAACUCUGCAAAAUGUUUGGCGGAGUAUUAUAUUUGCAUUUAACACAAUUUAUAUAGAAUUAACUUUGUUAUGCAAAGAUUGAAAAAUUUAAAUUUUGUUGUGGAGAAUACAUUACAUAUUUUGUAUUAUGACCAGAUAAUGUAACUUCCGUAUUUGAAGUAACAGCAGCUCAGGUGAACAAAAUUGUUAAACUAGGUACUUUUUCUUUUUGUUUAAAUUGUAGCCGCCAUCUAGAUUGCUUCUAUAAUUGUAUUGUAUUGGACAAUAACUACAGUUGAGGUGAACAAAAUUAUGUUAACCUAAGUACUUUGUAUUUUAGGUUAAAUUGUAAUCUCCAUCUAGGUUGCUUGUAUAAAUAUAUUGUAUUGGACUGUGAAAGUGGUGCAUAACAUGCAAGAAAUUUCUGCAGAGUGUGUGUACAUUAAAAAAUUGCAUUCAUUAAAUAACUGUAGUGUUACUGUUUGAAAUUAACUUCCUUUGUGCUGAUCCAUGUCGUUAGAUAUCGCUUGUGCACACAUGCAUCUUGCAGUGACCUGCUUGUGUGUAAUUUUUUGGAUCUGAUACAUUCAGCAAAUAUUGAUUUACAACAUGGCCAAAUAAUGUACUUCCAGUGUAAAAUAACACAGCAUUGGGUGACUGUAUUGGCUCCGCAUACCUCUUUUAAUUACAUAGUAUCACUACAGUAUGAGUGAGCUUACAAAUGUUAAGGAGCUACAUUGAUAGCCAAAUUUAAUGAGGAAUUAGUAUAAUAAUUCAUAAUGCAACAGUGGCCAUUUCAUGAGAAACAAGUUUUUGACAAUCUUGUAAAUGUUAAUUUCAUGCCAAAUUGCGAAUUAGCUCUUCAUUGCUUUUUUUUUUUUUUCCACCCAGCUAUAUGGGAAGACCACUCCAUCCAAAUUUAUGGUGUUACCAUGAUAGUGUACAUUUGGAUUUGUUUCACAUUUGUUUUAUUGCUGAUGUUACUGUUUUACAUAUGUUUAAGGAUACAAAUGUCUAGAUAACAAGGCUUGUGAAUAACCAGGCUAAUCGUAAGAAAAAGACAAGUGUUGCUCUUUUUUUCACAACUACGAAGAUUUAGUUUCCUGACUGUAUGGUUCAAGGAGUCAAUGGAAACAAUGUUUUGAUGUCAUUUAUGUGAAUAUUGUAAUAGUUGUUUCAUUGUGAACAUAACUGCAUUUAAUUUAUGUUGGACAUUGAUAAUGUUUCUGUGUAAAGUCAUUAUCCACAUUAAUUCUCAUGAAUCGUGGAGCAGUUGCUUUUUCCAGCAUUUUUCAUUUAAGACUGUGUCCAUGCUUUUUCUUCUUUUCACUGCUGAAUGUCAUGUAAAUACUUAUAUUUAAAAUCAUUUUCCCUGAUCCGAUGUGUUGUACAGUUCUGCAGACAUACUAUUGGAAAACACUUGAGGGAACUACGGUUGUACAUUUGUGGUACAUUGUGAUUAUUUUCCUGUAUAUAUACUGUUAUUAUUUUUUGCACUGAAGGCAUUAUUGACAAUGCCUGCAUGUUUGUAGAAUGAGGAAUGCACAGUGGACAAGGAAGUUGAGUACUACUACAUUUAUGUCCAUUACCGUCAGCCGGUUGUCGAAGCAGCAAUUGUGAGUAGUGUCCGUGAUCCUGAAGAUUCCAUCCUAGCUGCCUGUUUUACUUAAGCUAUUGACAUUUUAUGAGCACAGAUAGCAGUGGUCUUAACAUGUACUCUCUCACAAUAACUCUGUUCUUGGAAGGAACAGUACUUACUGUUGGAGGCAGUCCUCUGCAUCAAAAGUGUAGUGCGCUGGAUGAAAUAAGUCUUCGGAGCAUUUCCCAUAAGGAACCAUCCUCAACAUCAGGAUGUAAGUCACAUCAAGUAGGGAUGCUGAUGCUAGUCCCGGAGCUGUCACAAGCAAUCAUCGUCAAAAGAUGUCGUGAGGAUACUGGACAUUUGUGAUCCAAGGGGACAAAGCUGCAUAGAAGCACACCACCAAAGCAGCUGGUCAGCAGAGAACAGCUGGAACUGAGGCAAAGCAGGCAUAAUAUUUCACAAUUCCCAGGGUGGUUAUUCCUGCUGGGCAUCGCAGAGGUAAUUUCUUCCGCGAUGGGUGUGAAGCAAGAAGAGAGAGAAUGCUAUUGCGGCGCAUUGCUGAAAGUAUGCAAAGAACCAUUGUAUGUUCUCCCAAAAGAGUACCAGUUCAGUGCACAGUUUCCUGGAUGGUACCAUGUUCCAAGUUUGGCUGGCCAUGCCAGAUCUUGUGGACAUCUGAACCAGUUAUCAUUUGUACUGAAAGAACAGUGAUUGUAAUUAUAGAAGAUUAUUCUGGCCAUUCCUAGCAGGAAAAUGACACAAUGGCUAGCCUACUUGACCACAUCCUGAAGUAUCUUCACCUGCAGCUCUUCAAAUUGAGAUGGAACAUCAUCUACUUCAGACAAAUCAUCAUGUGUUAAACUGUGCUGCACUGGAUGCUACAACAGAAGUUCUACAUUGCAUGCAGUAACUUCCUCCAGUAACAUAUCUGCCUCAACUAUCCCGAGAUGUACAUCAGCAUUAGAAGAGCAAGGAUUGAGACACUGAAUAGUAGUUCAUAAGUGCUUUGAUUUUCUGCCACAUAUCCACACAAUAGCUGCUCACUCCACCGGGAUAGCCCAAUGAUGUUUUGGCUAAAUGAAGUGUAUAACUUAUGUGUUGUUACUUUUCUUCUUUAGAAAGCAGACAGCUUAGAAGAAGCAGCAGCAGCCGUGCACAAUGGGAGUUUCAGACCAGCACCUAAGCUGUGGAAGUCCUUUCAUGAUGUUAGCCAAGCAAGUUGCUGAGAAGAGAUAUGCAACAGCUAGAGGAACUUUUUGUACAAUAUGCACAUAGAGCCAACAUCAAAAGUUGAAUAGCAUCAGCUGUUCCUCAGUCAGUGUGUUUCUGGACUUGUAUCAAAGCUUUCUCAUGGAAGACAGGAUCACCAGAGGAGUGCAGGGCACCACAUGCAACGAGAAAGAUUACUGCCCACCUUCCACACUGCUCCUAGAUCCAUGUGGCUCAGGCUGUGUUGUGGGUACAUUGGCUCCACUGUGAGAACUUUUGUUAGGCCAUCAAGCUUCUAUGAUUGGAUACAAAGAAGACUAUUAUUAGAUGUGUUAUUACGUCCCUGUGCAUCCUGAUUCCGUCUGUUAAUAACUGUGUGCAUUUAGUGUAAUAUCAUGUUUCUGAAAUAAAUUGCUUUCAGCUUAUUUCAGAAACAUGGAUUAAUUCAGCUGUGGUUGCCCUCAACAGAAAAUUAUGUGUUAAUAUAAUAUCAGUCACAAUAAUCACUGUUAUGAUGUAUGGCAGAAUAUUAUUUACAUAAAUAGCAUGUGAUACGAUCCAAAUUCUCACCAUUUGUUUUAUGGCAGUAACACUGAUGCAGAGGAGCCACAUAAGAUACACGCAUUCAUGUUCAUGUAAACAACUGCAUAAUUUACAAUGUAAUGUUUAUUCAGUCAAAAAUGCCAUACCAUUUCGAGCUCCCGGCUCAUUUUCAGUGCUGAUAAAUACAUUUAAUACAGAUGCAUUCUAAUAGUUCUUUAAAUUUCCAUUGUCAUACUCGUGGAUCUAAUUUUUGAUCACACAUCUAAUGAAGAACAAGUGAUAAUGGUUCUUUAAUAUAGUAAGUUUUGAAAGACGAUGAAAGGAAAUAUGAUAAAGGUAGCUAAUGCUUGCUUACAGCUCGAUGUUUGUAAUCACACGAGAAUGUUUACAUCUUUAAGUUGAUAUCAAAACUAUAUUACACAAGAGGUACAGACAUUCAAAUCAAAAUUCAGAGCUUUACAGCAUAAUAAAUAUGUACAGACAUAUUUUUGAACAGUAAUGAAAAUAGCUAACUCAUAUGUUUAUUGAAAGUUACUGACAUGUAGAGAGUUGUAUUUACCUGAUGUUUUGUGAAAGCCAACUUUAGUCAUAUUAAUUACAGACUUAAAUUGUAGUGUAAUGAGAAUCUCUGAAAUUUCUUUUCAAGAAAAGCUCAUUUGUCACUUUAGUCUGGGCCUUAAGGAUUCACUUUUUUUGAAUGGAAUUUCUGUUAUAUUAAGCUUUUUGCCCAUGUCAGCCCAGUGUAAAAUCUUUACAUUGCAUUCAGUGUUAUCCACUGUGUAUUUAUUAGUGACCAGAUAGGAAUCAAAUGAGGUGCUGAGAACCAGAAGGGCCUAAAGCACAUCAGCGUCAAUAGUGAGACGGUAAAAUUUGUGCAUGUUUCUGAUAUACAUUGGUCUUAUGGAGGGUCAGUAUUUAUCUGUGCUGUAGGCCGAAAUUGCAUAUAUGAACAUUCUAGGAAAGCUGUCUCACCAGUUCCUCUGAUAUUUACUUCAAUGUGGGAUUGACAGUGAUGUGCUUUAAGCCCUUAUGGUUCUCAGUACCUCAAAUAUUUUGCAAUUCAAUGUACCUUCUAUAUCUCAUUUUCACAUCACACUACUUGCUUCAAAAUGGCAAGAUUUUCCAGUUACUACACAUCGAAAUAAUUUUUUUUUAAUUUUGUGUGUGGUUUUAUAUUUUAUGUAAUGUUGGCAGUUGGCUUCUUUAGCUUAUUUUGACAUCAGUGUGGGGAAACAUGUUCGAAGUAGAUAGAUGUUGCCAGAAAAAGGUGCUGCAACAAAUGUGAAAUUUGGUUUAGUUGGGAUUUACCUUCUGAUGGUGUGAGAAAGAGCUUAGUUUAUGAGCUUUGCUUCAAUUUUAUUUAAUGUCUUGUAUGUUAUUACAUACUGAUAUCCAUUAUUAGUCUGCAAGGUCAAUAUAAUUACCUGUGUAGGUUUUUUGGUGUAUUUCCUUGGUCCAACUUUCUAGUUGGAAAUACGUUGCUGUUCAUUACACAAUGUGUCAAAAAUGGGACUCAGAAUAUUGACACUCAUAUUUCACUUAAUGAAUUUAUGCAAUGAGAACUAAGCACUUCCUUUGUUACAGCAAAAGCCCACUAAACAUAUUUGUUCGUAAAACUAAAACGUUGUUUGUAAGAGGAUAAUGGGAAUCUGUGAACCAUUAACAAUGUGCAUAUAUGCUUAUUGAAAUGCUAUCUUGUGUACAAGCACAUUAUUUGCAUUGAUAUUUCCAAAUUGAAUGUGUGUUUUGAAAUUGUUAAUUUAUCAUCCAGGCUGUAAAAUGUACAUUUUAUUGAAUGUUUAAUAUUCUAAUGCAUCCUUUAUGGUUUGAGAUUACUGUAGUAGUUAUUUUAACGAAUUAAUGACUGAAUUCAUUGUCAUGUAACACUGAUGCAACGGCUUCGGUUAAACAGUUACUUGUAAAAUGCUCGCUGACAGGCUGCACGUAGCAAAUCUCUUAUUUUUUAACAUAUUAACCAUAGCUACUAUUAUCACUGCAUAUUCAUCAGUGUAUCUUGUUUGUUUUUCUUACACUCAGUAUGGAGUACAGCAUUUCAUUUGUCUCUCAAAUGUACAUAUUCAUCCCUCUAUGCAAGUUUUUGUUACAGCGAGCUUCAUACUAAUCUGGAGAGGUUACGCAGAAAACCAUGAGAGUCUUGCGUAGAGCUGCCAUGCUGGUGCUGGGCCAAUGUAAUACUUGUGCCUAUGGCAUCCAAGUGGGUCAUUCAGGGAACUGUAAACUAAACCUAAACAGUAUCACAUUAUAUCAGUAAGCAGUACUUCUAAUUCUCACAUUUAGCAGAACAGUUUGCCAGUUUGUUCCGAGCUGUCAUGGCAUCGUGUCACGGCUUGUGCUUCAUGGAUUCUCUCCAGUUUAGAUUUGAGCUCACUGCUUAAAUAUUAUAAAAUGUUAUCACUGACUGUGUAUGGGUAUUUUUCUCUUUUCCUGUUUUGCACAUAAUCUCAUAUAACUGUCAUGAAAGACUGGAAGAAAUAGGUAUGUCAGAGUGGCAGUCAAUUGUUAAUUGAUAACUGUAUAAGAAGGCAUAACUUAUUCCUAAUACAAUAAAAUACUGUGAAACAGACAAA